GCCGCUCUGGCGGAACUGGCAGACGCGCACGACUCAAAAUCGUGUGGGAGCAAUCCCGUCCCGGUUCGAUUCCGGGGAGCGGCA
rnacentral:tRNA from 4 species